AUUGAACGCUGGCGGAAUGCUUUACACAUGCAAGUCGAACGGUAGAGGGGGCAACCCCUCGAGAGUGGCGAACGGGUGAGUAAUAUAUCGGAACGUGCCCAGUCGUGGGGGAUAACGUAGCGAAAGUUACGCUAAUACCGCAUACGAUCUAAGGAUGAAAGCGGGGGAUCGCAAGACCUCGCGCGAUUGGAGCGGCCGAUAUCAGAUUAGGUAGUUGGUGGGGUAAAGGCUCACCAAGCCAACGAUCUGUAGCUGGUCUGAGAGGACGACCAGCCACACUGGAACGUGGACACGGUCCAGACUCCUACGGGAGGCAGCAGUGGGGAAUUUUGGACAAUGGACGCAAGUCUGAGCCAGCCAUUCCGCGUGCAGGAUGAAGGCCCUCGGGUUGUAAACUGCUUUUGUACGGAACGAAAAGGUCUCUCUUAAUACGGGGGACUCAUGACGGUACCGUAAGAAUAAGCACCGGCUAACUACGUGCCAGCAGCCGCGGUAA
rnacentral:rRNA from 1 species